CCCUUAGAUGUUCUGGGCUGCACGCGCGCUACACUGACGCACGCAACAGGUGCCUGCUCCGAGAGGACUGGGUAAUCAUUUGAGUGUGCGUCGUGAUGGGGAUAGAAUAUUGUAAUUAUUACUCUUCAACGAGGAAUUCCUAGUAAGCGCCAGUCAGCAGCUUGCGCUGAUUACGUCCCUGCCCUUUGUACACACCGCCCGUCGCUACUGCCAACUGAGAUGGGUCCUGAAUUGUUAGGAACGCCCGUCAAGGGGCCUACCCGGUCCCUAGUGCGGUGACGAGAAUAACUGUAAAUGGCAUAUCUUGUAGGGAGUAAAAGUCGUAACA
rnacentral:rRNA from 1 species